UGCAUAAAAAGAAAAAUUAAACGAUUGCAUAAAGAAAAUAGAAAUUUAACUAAACCUAGAACAAGGAUUGCAUGAAAGAGAAAUGAUAGAUUUGCUAAAAAGAAAAUUCAUUACAAAUAAAAGUGGAGAUUGGAAACCUAAUGUUUCUUCUCUUUUGCAAAUAACAUAAAAAAAAUAAAACAAAAAACCUCUUCCUCCCGUUAGAACAUAAAAUAUUUUUUUACUCUUUU
rnacentral:lncRNA from 1 species